GGUCUCUAAAAACUUCAGCUCUUUGGGGGCACCACCUGUUGAUAGCGGCCCUGAGGACAGGACUUGGCUUUCUCACGUCCCCCUCCCUGCCACUGUCUGCCAUGGCCAUCCUGAGUGAUCUAGGAACCGUAUUGGGCCGCGGAGCAUUUACUGUGGGGCAAGCCGCACAACUGUCCCUGCCUAGCCCUCAUUUUUUGGGAAGACGACAUCCGCCUCAUUCACUUGCCUCGUUUUCUAUUUCUGGAUAUUGUUUCUGUCCCCCCAUCAUUGGUUCCAUCUCCCAGAUGCUCCUGUGAGCCAGCUUCCUUUCUCCCUGGAGAUUCCCUCUCUGGUGUCCCCCGGCCUCCUGUUCCCAUGUGGACAGUGGGCUCAGUACCCUACAGGGACCCCGGGUGGGUGUGGGCCCUUCCCUCUGCUCCUCUCCCCUCUGCCUUUACUCUUGUUGAUGGAGUCACUCUCUAGAGGCUCCCUCUGAGCAUCUGCCUCUGGCUGUUCCCUGGCUACUGACGGCCUUUCUGGAAGCAUUUGUGAAGAUGGGGGCGCCUCAGCUUCCAGAUGCAGACUUUCCUGAAUUCCCCAGUGUUCAGCCCUAAGGCCUGGCCGCCUGAGUUCCAGAGCGCCUGUGUCCACUUGCUCCGGAGAGCAAACCUCCGGGCUCCUGCAGGGGUCCCAGAGGCACAGGAGGGGCCUGGAGUGCCUCACCCGCCCUCCCCUCGGCCACCCCACCGGCCUCUGGAAAGUUCUCUCUGCCCUCCCUUGUCUUUUAGAGGCUAAUCCUUGGGCAGGAGAAAGUGGAUGCUUACCUGUUUCCAGAUGUGGUAAAGGCCUGAGAAACCGACGGGGACAGACAUGCUCACUCUCCAAAUCAGAAGCCCAGCUUAGAAAGCACGUGUGAGCAAGUGCAAGCUUGGACAGCCCAGUUGCAUGAUCGCAAAUGGCCACAGUUCUGCGCUGCCUGUCCCCUGAGAGGUGGGUCUGUCCCCACCUUCAGCCUGGGGUAACCUGUGACCUGUCCUGACCUCUAGGAUGCCUGGAAGGGUCUGCGUGGCCCCCGAUGAGGCCUCGGAUCCUGCCAGCACCCAGCAUGUGACCAAGCCUGGGCUGGUCUGCUGACAAGUGACAGGCCCUGCUGAGGCAAAGACGACCUGUCCACUGCCCACCCACAGAAUCAAUAGCCACACCGUAGUUGCUUCCAGCCAGCCCUGGAGACCAGAAGGCCAACAUCAACGUGUCCUGGGGUUGGAUCCUUUCUGCUUCUUGCAGCUUCUGGUGUCCCUUGGCUUGUGGCUACAUCACUCCAGUCUCUACCUGUUGUCACGUGGCUUCUCCUCUGUGUCCUUUCAUCUUGUAGGACGCUGGUCAUUGGGUUUAGGGUCCACCCGAAACCCAGGAUGACCUCAUUUUGAGAUUUUUUUUUUCCUCCCCAAAGCCCCUGUCUCAGUUGCCAUGCUGUGGUAGCAGCUCACGUAGAAGGAUCUACAACUAGAUGCAUACAACUAUGUGUGUGUCUAGUAUGUAUCUAGGUAGUGUGGUUCCGUGAUGGGAAGUGAACCCAGGCCAAAGCCGUGAGAGCGCCAAACUUUAACCUCUGGGCCAUCGGGGCUGGCACUUGAGAUCUUUAAUUAAUUCCAUCAGCAAAGACUUUAUUUCCAAAUAAGGUCGUGGUCUGAGGUUCUGCUCUAUGUGAAUUUGGGGGGACACUUCAAAUCAGUGCAGCACCCUUUUUCAUUUUGAUGAUGUGUACACAUUAGAAGCUGCCCAGGCAUCUUCGUCUCUGCCACGUGACAGCCCACGUGGCUGAUCCCUGUGCAUCGUGGAUCCUUCCUGCGUGCCCUCUGGGCCGCCCUCCCUGGGAGCAGAGCCCCUGGGCCUCACACAGCCUGGCCUGCUCGCCUGCUGCCCUCCCUCUCCCCCUGCCUCUACCUCUGCUCCAGCUGUUUCUUGGCCACAGUAAGGAUACUCUCGGACUCCGAGCUUUUGUGCUGCUGCUCCCUGUGACCCAAAUGCCCCUCACCAGGUACCUCAUGAGACGCCCUCCAGUUGGGGGGCGCGUCUCUGACCACCCGGUCAAAGACAGUCCCAUCCACGCGGGGCCCACCCUCGGCCUUGCCAGCCCCGUCUCACAGCUCAUGUGGCCUCCUGGUGUGCAUCGACUCCUGCUCCCACGUGGCCCCUCAUUGGUCUGGGCUGUGUCCCAAGGCCAGGACGGCACCAGCACAUGAGGCAUAAGGACAUAUAUCCUGGGUAGAUGGUAGUUCAGAUAAAUACAUAUACAUAUGUUGGAAUACAUGCCAAAAUAUUUACUAAUGGGGCACAACCAAACCCCGCUGAAUGGAGAGCUCUGCUCAGCAGCAAAAAGGGGCAGACUGCUGAGAGCACCGCCGCAGGUCAGCACCGGGCCUCCAUGCAGGUGGUGGUGUAGAGACGGGUGGGGUGGAGAAGAGAGCGGCGCUGGUCAGGGCUGGGCGGUGGGGAGGUGGCUGUGGCUCUGAAGGGCGGCCUGAGGGGUCAUUGUGAUGGAACUAUGUGUCCUGACUGUCGCCACGUGAAGCUACAUGUGAUAAAAUCUCACAGAACUUGGUGUUUAAUAAGUAGUGAAUUUCAGUUUGGGAAGAUGAAGUUCUGGAGAUGGAUGGUGGUGAUGGGUGCAAAACAGUGUGAAUGUGCUUAAUGCCACUGAGCUGUGCACUUAAAAAUGAUUAAAAGCUAAAUUUUAUGUACAUUUGACCACACUAAAAAAAAUUAAUAGAACUAAACACACACACACUCAAAUGCGCGUACACAUGCAUGUCCACACACAUGAGUGCAGCUGAGGUGGGAAGCCUGAGGUCCAUGGCCUGCACAGAGGUCAACGUCUGGCGUGAUCCUGCACGACAGUUCUGCAACUGUGCCCACUGGGGACACUGGUGAUGGGCACGUGGGCUCUGUUAUUUCCUACAACUGCAUGUGAACCCACAGCAGUCUCAGAAGGAAAAGGGAAGCGAAGACACUGGUGAGGCCGCUGUUCUCUGACAAGCCCCGUGGAGACCCAGGGAACAGGCUGGCAUCGUCCCCUCCACGUCCCCAGAGCUGUGCCUGGCACUCUUGAUUACCGUUUAUUGAAAGAAUGCACACAUGAGGUUAGAUGAACACAUAAACAAGUCCGUGUGCGGCCCACACACCCCUCGGCGUUAGGCCUCUGCAGAGAAUGUCCUUCCCAGAAGCCAGGGUGUCCCGUCCGUGGGCCCCACGAGGGUCAACGAGUCCACGCUGAGUGGCCUGGGAGUGGGCCAGAACUGUCUGCCAUUAAUGUUCAUGUUCGCAUUCUCGUUGUCCGGCUGCCUCUGAUGGUCUCACCCAAGGCCUCCUCCGAAAC
rnacentral:lncRNA from 1 species